rnacentral:lncRNA from 1 species
UGGAGAAACAGCGUUGCCAGAUCUUUCUAUAUGCUCUGGGAGAGGCAGCUGAACAAGGAGGCCAUCUACAUUACCUUCAUUAUUCAGUUUAUUGAUUAAAUUCAACAAUUCUUCCCCUGAAAUUGAAGCUGGUCUCACUAGUGUCUCACUGUUGAUUCCCACAGCUGCCCUGAUUUUGUUGAGGAAGUAGGAGGGACUUGCAGGAUUCUCGCUGACGGAGAUCGUGAUCCUGCUCAGGUGUGGCCAUUUGUUGCCUGAAGCCAUCCACUCUUCCACCUCCUGCCGCACUUCCUGCUUGAUCUGCUGGGCCAGUUUCUUUCCAGCUUCAUUUCGAACUGCCACGAGGUGGAAGGCGCGAGGGCGGAGGGAGCAGCCCGGCAGCCAAUGCGGACGUGAGCCUGUGACCACUCAGGGAGGGAAGGUCUUCAGGGGCAAUGAUACACAGGGAGCUGUCCUCUCUUACAAUAGCAAUGCUUCUUCUGGAAUACAUCCUGAAAGACUUGCCCGAAGCUGUUUAACAGGUAAUUUUUUUUUUUUUUUGAGAUGGAGUCUUUCACUGUCACCGGGGCUAGAGUGCAGUGGUGUGGUCUUGAUUCACUGCAACCUCUGCCUCUGGGUUUAAGCAAUUCUCCUGCCUCAGCCUCCCAGGUAGCUGGGAUUACAGGUGCAUACCACCACGCCCAGCCAGUUUUAUGUAUUUUUAGUAGAGACAGGGGUUUCACUGUGUUGGCCAGGCUGGUCUUGUACUCCUGACCUCAUGAUGUGCUCGCCUCGGCCUCCCAAAAUGCUGGGAUUACAGGUGUGAGCCACCACGCCUGGGCUUAACAGUUAAUUUGGAAAAUUAUUAGCGGAAGUUCACUCUAAAAUAAUGACUUAAAAGUAUAGUAUAGUAAAUACAUAAACCACUAGCAUAGUUGUUUAUUAUCAUUGUCAAUUAUUAUAAACUGUAUGUAAUUGUGUGAGCUGUAUUUCCACAGGACUGGCAGUAGGUUUGUUUACACCAGCACCACAAAGACACGAGUACUGCAUUGUGCUGCUGCGUCAUGACGGCCAUGCUGUCACUAGGCUCUAGGUAUUU